rnacentral:misc_RNA from 1 species
GAUGAAGAACGUAGCGAAAUGCGAUACGUAAUGUGAAUUGCAAAUUCAGUGAAUCAUCGAGUCUUUGAACGCACAUUGCGCCCCCUGGUAUUCCGUGGGGCAUGCCUGUCCGAGCGUCAUUGCUGCCCUCAAGCACGGCUUGUGUGUUGGGCCCCGUCCUCCGAUCCCGGGGGACGGGCCCGAAAGGCAGCGGCGGCACCGCGUCCGGUCCUCGAGCGUAUGGGGCUUUGUCACCCGCUCUGUAGGCCCGGCCGGCGCUUGCCGAUCAACCCAAAUUUUUUAUCCAGGUUGACCUCGGAUCAGGUAGGGAUACCCGCUGAACUUAAGCAUAUCAAUAAGCGGAGGA